rnacentral:lncRNA from 1 species
AAUAGUAGAUCAGAAUAGUAUAUAUAAAUAUAUAUAUAUAUAUAUAUAGUGUAAAGUUACUAUACUAUCAGAAGUACAAGAGAAUUCAAUUUUUUAGUCAUUGGAUUAAAGAUUCUACGGUUAGAAUAAUAGUGUUCCCUUUAGGAUUGAGUGGUCCCCAUAGGGUUAAGUGGUUCCCAUUGGUUAAUAAUAUUUAUUCAAUAGUUAGAAAUGAUCAAUAGCGUUGAUCUAACGGCUAAAAAAUCGAAAACACCAACUACUUUAUAUUUUCGAAAACUUAUGACGUUCUAUGCAUAAUGUCUUUCAAAGUUAUAGAUUAUAUCUAUUAAAUUAAAUUUUAUUUUUUAAAAAUAUAAAUUACUAUCUCAAGUAUGUUUCGUACUAAGUAUCACUCCAGUACUAAAUUAGGACGUGAGAAAUGAAGAUGACAACGAAUUAAUCAAAAUUCUGCUUGAGAACGCGAUUUGUUAAGUUUAGAAUACUGAUAGGCUGCAAACGACAUAACGAAAAAAUUUACGGUGCCCAUACCGUAUAUAAAAAGUAACUUUAUAGAAUGUCCAAAUGUACGAGAAUACCUGGCACAAGUAAAAUGUAAGGAUGGGAGAGGAGGGGUGGUGGAGAAGGAGAAUGGGAGUUGGGGGAUGGAGAAGUUGAAGGGCCAUUGGUGGGGUAUUUGUACUAACCAGAUGCACCACCCUGCUCAGUAACUCCCUCAUUAUAGAGUUUUUUUUUUUUAUUUUUAGAGAAAGAUAGCAUACUAUUCGUUUCGUUUAUUUUAUAUAGAACUAAACUUAGCCGAAAAUAUGAAUCAACUAGAAUUUGAACUUGGGUCUCGGGUACCAACCACCAAACCCUUUUGCCACUUGCGCUAGGAAUGGUCGGUCGUUAUAGAGAUUGUUGAUAGAAAAAAUUUACUAUGUAUGUACACCAUAUUAUUUAUAUUCAAUUAAUCAUAUAUUUUUUUUUGAAAAAAAAAUAAAAUAAAAUAAGCUUAAAAAAUCAUAAUGGAACGGAUGAACUCCAGAUGAGCAAUUUGAUCGGUUGAAAACAUUACAUCAGUAACUACUGCAUUAUAGAGUUUUAUGGUAGGUUGUCUAGUAUAUACUAUCCGUCAAUAUCUACUCUCUGUUGGAAAUAUAUUUGGGUCCUUAUCUAGGAUCUUUGUAUAAAAUGCCUAUAUAUUAGUAAGCUUACAUGAUAGUCUAAGGUUAAAAUCGUACAUAACUUUGGAUCAAUUUGAAUUCAGUACUCAACCUUUCAAAAUUAUAACUUCAUUAUCCAAACUUUCUCAGUUUGUUAGUCAGUUAACAUUACUUUGAUUUUAAAAUUUAAGCUAAUUACUUUAUAAAUUUAUUGUUACUAAAUCUAUAAAAAUAAAUGACGUAUUCAAAUUUUAAAAUUAAAGUAUCGUUAAUUGAUUGGAAUCAAACAAAUUAAAAAAUUAGACGACAUCCAUGCUAAG